rnacentral:lncRNA from 1 species
CUUAUAUGGUCUUCUGCCUUCUUGCAGUUGCAGAUGGGAAUUCAGAACUUCAUCUGUACUUUCCAGAAGGUCUCAAUCAGAUGGGUUGUACUGAGGAGUGUUCUCAGGAACUAUCCGGGGCUUUGUCAUAGGUAUUUAUGAGAGUAGAGAUUUAAAGGACCUCAAAAAUUUUCAAUUACAUUGUUGUCUAAAUUUUCUCUUAUCCAGGUGUGCACCAAAUACAUUCGCAGAUUUCUAAGGGGUGCAAGUGAAAGGCUUUCAGGGUUCACGUUUGUUGCUGUUCAGCCCGGUGGUGAGUGGAGGCUGUGGAGCCAUGCAGUACAAGAGUGUGGGAUGAGGCCCUCUGGGCAAGUACUGGCAGAUGGACGUUGCCUUCAGGUGGCAUCGUGCACCCAUGUAACCAAAUGUCUGCUGGAGGAGAUGAAUAUUUUGUCAUCUCAGUACUGUAUGAAUGUGAAGCAUGGAGUUGAAUAGGAGCAUCAAGAAAGUGAAAUCUGCUUGAUAGGCAACAGAAUAAUGAUUGGACCUGAAGGGUAAGUAUAAUUUACUUUGGAAAAUGAAGUGGAC